GACGAACGCUGGCGGCGCGCCUAACACAUGCAAGUCGAACGGAGCGUACCGAGCGGAAGCCUUCGGGUGGAAGCAUGGUAUUGCUUAGUGGCGAACGGGUGAGUAACACGUGAGUAACCUACCUCCGAGCGGGGGACAACAUUUGGAAACAGAUGCUAAUACCGCAUAAGACCACAGAGCCGCAUGGCUCAGGGGCCAAAGUAUUUAUACACUUGGAGAUGGACUCGCGCCUGAUUAGCUAGAUGGUGAGGUAACGGCUCACCAUGGCAACGAUCAGUAGCCGGACUGAGAGGUUGAACGGCCACAUUGGGACUGAGACACGGCCCAGACUCCUACGGGAGGCAGCAGUGAGGAAUAUUGCACAAUGGGGGAAACCCUGAUGCAGCGACGCCGCGUGAGGGAAGAAGGUUUUCGGAUUGUAAACCUCUGUCUUCGGGGACGAUAAUGACGGUACCCGAGGAGGAAGCCACGGCUAACUACGUGCCAGCAGCCGCAGUAACAC
rnacentral:rRNA from 1 species